ACAAAUCUUGGUUUCCCCCUUCCCCUAAUUCUUGAUCACAAACCCUAGGAUAUAUCGGUCGAGGGUUUCUUUCACUCAUGGUUCUUAAUUAUUCUCCUCCAACGUAUUCGUUGUAUUUCGCCUCUUCUGGCUCGUUUUAGGGUUUAGAAAUCAAUUUUGAUUCACAAGUUUUCAACAUUUUUUGGUGUAUUUCGUUUCGUCGUUUCUGGUUUCGUAGUGGAAGAGUUGAAGCAUGGAAAGAUUGGGAGGUGGAGGUGAUACUCAACAACUCGUUGAUCCUCGAGAUCAUAAUCAACAACUUGGUUCGAAUUCAGCAGGUGGUACUGUAUUUGAUGCAUCGCAGUAUGCAUUCUUUGGAAAUGAAGUUCUUGAAGAAGUUGAGUUGGGAGGUCUGGAAGAUGAAGAGGAAGACCUUCCAGCUGCCAAAUUUGAGGAUGAAGAGUACCAAUUGGAGCAAGAUGAGUGUUUUAUGUUGCAGGGUGUGUUUCCAGGAAUCGAUGAUCUUGCCACCACAUUUUCAAAGCUCAACAAAGAUGUCAUGGGGACAAGUGUUGGAGUUUUUGGUGACCAAGGAUCAAGAGAAAAUUCAUCUGCAGCUGAAUGGGCACAGGGAGGAGAAUACACCAACUGGUUCGAUCAGGAUAUUUUUGAUGCAGAAAGUGCUCAGGAUAGCAAUAGAUGGUCAAAUCCUUCAUUUCCUCUUCAAGAUGCAUCAAUGCUUAUUCAUAGAACAUCUUCCUACCCUGAGAAACAUCAACAACAGAAUCUUAACCAGCAGCUGAAUGAUGAAUCAAAGCUAUACCUUCACAGAACAUCAUCUUAUCCCGAGCAGCAUCAACAACAGAACCUUAACCAGCGCCUGCUAGAUGAAUCAAAGCAUCUCCACAGAACAUCAUCUUACCCUGAGCAGCAGCAACCGCACCACCUUAGUCAGCAUUUGCAUUUCUCUAGUGAGCCGGUUCCGGUUCCCAAAUCUUCUUUCGUUUCAUACCCUCCACCUGGCGGUCCAGGUGGGUCUCCUCAACCUCCAGCAAGCCAUCAAUUACAUCAUCUUAAUGCUCAGUUUCAUGGCAGUGGCCACCAGAUGCCGCCAUCUUUCUCCAAUAUAUCUCCAUUGUCAAAUCCGCAGCUUCAGAUGGGUGGGAUGCCUCAUGGAUCGCAAUUCGGUGGGAAUCUUCCCCAGUUUCGUCCUCUUGCUCCAUCUGUUAAUAACCGGAUGCCUAACCAGUGGACGGGUCAGAAUAGUUUAUAUCCAGGAGACCAACCUGAUCUUUCAAAUGGUAUGUUGCAACAACAGCUUGCUCAUAAGAACGGUUUGCUGCCACCACAGCAACAUCGGUUGCAUCACCAAUUUCAGCCAUCUUUUGGCCAUUUAUCUGGGUUGCAGCCCCAAUUGCCCCAACUAAUGAAUCACCAUCUCUCUCCAUCCCCACCACUGAUGAACAAUUUUGAAGUUUUUGGGAUGGCUGGUCCAAGGGAUCCAAGGCCUAAACCAAUGCCCAAAGGUAGACCAGGUCAGAGAUAUCCCCAAUCGGGGUUUGACACCAGUGGAUGGCCACAGUUCAAAUCAAAGUACAUGACGGCUGAUGAGAUCGAAAAUAUUCUCAGAAUGCAGCUUGCUGCUACACACAGUAACGAUCCUUAUGUCGAUGAUUACUAUCACCAAGCUUGCCUGGCUAACAAAUCUAGCGGUGCGAAGUUGAGACACCAUUUCUGCCCAACCCAGUUGAGGGAUUGUCCUCCCAGAGCUCGUGCUGCUAACGAGCCACAUGCUUUUCUUCAGGUUGAUGCUUUGGGAAGGGUUUCUUUUUCUUCGAUACGUCGACCUCGCCCACUUCUUGAGGUCGAUCCUCCAAAGUCGUCUGCUAGCGGCAACACUGAUCAGAAAAUGUUGGAUAAACCAUUGGAACAAGAGCCCAUGCUUGCAGCUAGAGUCACCAUUGAGGACGGCAUUUGUCUUCUUCUGGAUGUCGAUGAUAUUGAUCGCUUUCUUCAGUUCAAUCAGCUCCAAGAUGGUGGAGCCCAAUUACGUCAAAGGCGACAAGUUUUACUCGAAGGAUUAGCAACAUCGCUUCAGCUUGUUGAUCUGCUAGGCAAAAAUGGUCAAACAGUAGAGUUGACUCCCAAAGAUGAUCUUGUUUUCUUACGGUUAGUUUCUCUCCCAAAGGGUCGAAAACUUCUCUCAAGGUACCUCCAACAUCUCUCCCCUGGAAGUGAGCUAACCCGCAUAGUUUGCAUGGCGGUUUUUCGCCAUUUAAGAUUCUUGUUCGGAGGUCUUUCCUCAGAUCCUGGAGCAGCAGCAACCGCUAACAAUCUUGCAACGAAUGUUUCAUCUUCUAUUCGUGGGAUGGAACUUCGAGCUCUUGCCGCCUGUCUAGCAUCCGUUGUUUGUUCCACGGAGCAUCCUCCACUUCGUCCUGUUGGAAGUCCUGCAGGCGAUGGGGCUUCUGUUGUUAUAAAAUCCGUACUAGAAAGAGGAACCGAACUCUUAACAGACCCACACGCCGUCAGUAACUGCAGCAUGCCUAAUCGGGCGUUUUGGCAGGCCUCUUUUGAUGCUUUUUUUGGACUUCUGACCAAAUACUGUUUUAGUAAAUAUGAUACUGUUGUCCAAUCGUUGCUGACACAGGGAGGCGGUCCAACCGAUAUGGCUGUUAUUGGGUCGGAUGCUGCAAAAGCCAUUAGCCGGGAAAUGCCCGUUGAACUCUUGCGUGCUAGCCUUCCUCAUACGAAUGAAAACCAGAGGAAACUGCUUCUGGAUUUUGCUCAACGAUCGAUGCCUGUGCUCGGAAUGAAUAGCAGUGGGGCAGGAAACGGUGGCACUUGAAUGGUAAUCAUGACAGAUGGUAUUAUUCACCGAUGAAUAAGAGAAAAGCUAAUAUAAACCCUGAGAUAUAUGUUGUGGGUGAUAUAAAGCAUGGUUGGAAAGGAAAGCAGAAAGGAAGGAGAGAAUGUGCAGAUGAUGAUAGAAGAGCUUAUUUUGUUGCUCUGGUGGAAUGGUCACUCUCCCUGGUAGUAAUGAGGAUUUAGAAAGUUAGAAGAAAUGUGUAUAGGGUUUGAGUUCCUUCACCAUUGAUAUUCAAGGAGAUGGGAAGGAAAGGACUACUACCUGGAUUGAUCACAAAUGAAUCCUCUUUUUGUUUUUUGUUCAUUUCUAACUCUGAUAUUGGUCGGAGAAAGUUCAUAACUUGUUUAAUUUU